rnacentral:rRNA from 1 species
UUAAGCGACUAAGCGUACACGGUGGAUGCCCUGGCAGUCAGAGGCGAUGAAGGACGUGCUAAUCUGCGAUAAGCGUCGGUAAGGUGAUAUGAACCGUUAUAACCGGCGAUUUCCGAAUGGGGAAACCCAGUGUGAUUCGUCACACUAUCAUUAACUGAAUCCAUAGGUUAAUGAGGCGAACCGGGGGAACUGAAACAUCUAAGUACCCCGAGGAAAAGAAAUCAACCGAGAUUCCCCCAGUAGCGGCGAGCGAACGGGGAGGAGCCCAGAGCCUGAAUCAGUGUGUGUGUUAGUGGAAGCGUCUGGAAAGGCGCGCGAUACAGGGUGACAGCCCCGUACACAAAAAUGCACAUACUGUGAGCUCGAUGAGUAGGGCGGGACACGUGGUAUCCUGUCUGAAUAUGGGGGGACCAUCCUCCAAGGCUAAAUACUCCUGACUGACCGAUAGUGAACCAGUACCGUGAGGGAAAGGCGAAAAGAACCCCGGCGAGGGGAGUGAAAAAGAACCUGAAACCGUGUACGUACAAGCAGUGGGAGCCUCUUUAUGGGGUGACUGCGUACCUUUUGUAUAAUGGGUCAGCGACUUAUAUUCUGUAGCAAGGUUAACCGAAUAGGGGAGCCGAAGGGAAACCGAGUCUUAACUGGGCGUUAAGUUGCAGGGUAUAGACCCGAAACCCGGUGAUCUAGCCAUGGGCAGGUUGAAGGUUGGGUAACACUAACUGGAGGACCGAACCGACUAAUGUUGAAAAAUUAGCGGAUGACUUGUGGCUGGGGGUGAAAGGCCAAUCAAACCGGGAGAUAGCUGGUUCUCCCCGAAAGCUAUUUAGGUAGCGCCUCGUGAAUUCAUCUCCGGGGGUAGAGCACUGUUUCGGCAAGGGGGUCAUCCCGACUUACCAACCCGAUGCAAACUGCGAAUACCGGAGAAUGUUAUCACGGGAGACACACGGCGGGUGCUAACGUCCGUCGUGAAGAGGGAAACAACCCAGACCGCCAGCUAAGGUCCCAAAGUCAUGGUUAAGUGGGAAACGAUGUGGGAAGGCCCAGACAGCCAGGAUGUUGGCUUAGAAGCAGCCAUCAUUUAAAGAAAGCGUAAUAGCUCACUGGUCGAGUCGGCCUGCGCGGAAGAUGUAACGGGGCUAAACCAUGCACCGAAGCUGCGGCAGCGACACUAUGUGUUGUUGGGUAGGGGAGCGUUCUGUAAGCCUGUGAAGGUGUACUGUGAGGUAUGCUGGAGGUAUCAGAAGUGCGAAUGCUGACAUAAGUAACGAUAAAGCGGGUGAAAAGCCCGCUCGCCGGAAGACCAAGGGUUCCUGUCCAACGUUAAUCGGGGCAGGGUGAGUCGACCCCUAAGGCGAGGCCGAAAGGCGUAGUCGAUGGGAAACAGGUUAAUAUUCCUGUACUUGGUGUUACUGCGAAGGGGGGACGGAGAAGGCUAUGUUGGCCGGGCGACGGUUGUCCCGGUUUAAGCGUGUAGGCUGGUUUUCCAGGCAAAUCCGGAAAAUCAAGGCUGAGGCGUGAUGACGAGGCACUACGGUGCUGAAGCAACAAAUGCCCUGCUUCCAGGAAAAGCCUCUAAGCAUCAGGUAACAUCAAAUCGUACCCCAAACCGACACAGGUGGUCAGGUAGAGAAUACCAAGGCGCUUGAGAGAACUCGGGUGAAGGAACUAGGCAAAAUGGUGCCGUAACUUCGGGAGAAGGCACGCUGAUAUGUAGGUGAAGUCCCUCGCGGAUGGAGCUGAAAUCAGUCGAAGAUACCAGCUGGCUGCAACUGUUUAUUAAAAACACAGCACUGUGCAAACACGAAAGUGGACGUAUACGGUGUGACGCCUGCCCGGUGCCGGAAGGUUAAUUGAUGGGGUUAGCGGUAACGCGAAGCUCUUGAUCGAAGCCCCGGUAAACGGCGGCCGUAACUAUAACGGUCCUAAGGUAGCGAAAUUCCUUGUCGGGUAAGUUCCGACCUGCACGAAUGGCGUAAUGAUGGCCAGGCUGUCUCCACCCGAGACUCAGUGAAAUUGAACUCGCUGUGAAGAUGCAGUGUACCCGCGGCAAGACGGAAAGACCCCGUGAACCUUUACUAUAGCUUGACACUGAACAUUGAGCCUUGAUGUGUAGGAUAGGUGGGAGGCUUUGAAGUGUGGACGCCAGUCUGCAUGGAGCCGACCUUGAAAUACCACCCUUUAAUGUUUGAUGUUCUAACGUUGACCCGUAAUCCGGGUUGCGGACAGUGUCUGGUGGGUAGUUUGACUGGGGCGGUCUCCUCCUAAAGAGUAACGGAGGAGCACGAAGGUUGGCUAAUCCUGGUCGGACAUCAGGAGGUUAGUGCAAUGGCAUAAGCCAGCUUGACUGCGAGCGUGACGGCGCGAGCAGGUGCGAAAGCAGGUCAUAGUGAUCCGGUGGUUCUGAAUGGAAGGGCCAUCGCUCAACGGAUAAAAGGUACUCCGGGGAUAACAGGCUGAUACCGCCCAAGAGUUCAUAUCGACGGCGGUGUUUGGCACCUCGAUGUCGGCUCAUCACAUCCUGGGGCUGAAGUAGGUCCCAAGGGUAUGGCUGUUCGCCAUUUAAAGUGGUACGCGAGCUGGGUUUAGAACGUCGUGAGACAGUUCGGUCCCUAUCUGCCGUGGGCGCUGGAGAACUGAGGGGGGCUGCUCCUAGUACGAGAGGACCGGAGUGGACGCAUCACUGGUGUUCGGGUUGUCAUGCCAAUGGCACUGCCCGGUAGCUAAAUGCGGAAGAGAUAAGUGCUGAAAGCAUCUAAGCACGAAACUUGCCCCGAGAUGAGUUCUCCCUGACUCCNAGCGACUUGCUCGUGGAGCUGAAAUCAGUCGAAGAUACCAGCUGGCUGCAACUGUUUAUUAAAAACACAGCACUGUGCAAACACGA